rnacentral:rRNA from 1 species
UACACACCGCCCGUCACACCAUGGAAGUCUGUUGCACCAGAAGUCGGUAGUCUAACCGCAAGGGGGCGCCGACCACGGUGUGCCGAUGACUGGGGUG